rnacentral:rRNA from 1 species
AGUAGCUUGCUAUGAGCUGUUUUAGCGGCGGACGGGUGAGUAACGCGUGAGCAACCUUUCCCAGACAGGGGAAUAACAGUUGGAAACGACUGCUAAUACCGCAUAAGCGCACGGUAUCGCAUGAUACAGUGUGAAAAACUCCGGUGGUAUAAGAUGGACCCGCGUCUGAUUAGCUUGUUGGUGAGGUAACGGCUCACCAAGGCGACGAUCAGUAGCCGGCCUGAGAGGGUGAACGGCCACAUUGGGACUGAGACACGGCCCAAACUCC